CCCCCAAAAUGCCCCAAAUUCCCCCAAAAAUCUCAAAAUUCCACCCGAAAAUUUCAAAUUUCCCCCCAAAACCCCAAAUUUUCCCCCUAAAUCCCCCAAAUUCUUCCCAAAAAUCCCCAAAAUUCCCCAAUAAUCCCCAAAAUUCCUCCCAAGUAUUUCAAAUUUUCCCCCAAAAUCUCAAAAUUCCGCCCAAAAAUUUGAAAUUUCCCCCCGAAAAUCUCAAAAUCCUCCCCAAAAUCCCCAGAUUUCCACCCAAAAAUCCCCAAAAAUUUCAGAUUUCUCCCCCAAACCCCCAAAUUUCCACCCAAAAAGCCCCAAAAUCCCCCGAUUUCCCCCCAAAAUCCCGAACCUGCGUCCGCCGCCGCCUCCGGCUCCCCAAAAUCCCGUCGGGGCCCCUCCCCCACCCAGGAAACCGCGGCCGCCGUGGGGCAGGAAAUGUGUGGGGUGGGGGAGGGGCGGAGAGAGACGCCGAGAAAAAUUUGGGGGGGUCUGGAAUUUAUUGGGGGGGUCCGGGACCCCCAAAUGUGGGGCUGGGGUCCCAAAUGUGGGGCUGGGGUCAGUUGGUCACUCCUGGUCACUCUGGGGUCACUCUGAGGUCACUUUGGGGUCACUCCUGGUCAUUUUGGGGUCAUUUUGGGGUCACUCAGUGGUCACUCAGACGCUUGGGUGGUCACUCUGGUGGUCACUCGGUCACUCCUGGGUGGUCACUCCCAACUGGUCACUCUGGUGGUCACUUGGAGACUUUGGUGGUCACUCCAGGGUGGUCACUCCAG
rnacentral:lncRNA from 1 species